AUUGAACGCUGGCGGCGUGCUUAACACAUGCAAGUCGAGCGGUAACAGGCGUAGCAAUACGUGCUGACGAGCGGCGAACGGGUGCGUAAUACAUGGGAAUCUGCCCUUUGGUGGGGAAUAACCCGGCGAAAGCCGGGCUAAUGCCGCAUCAGAUCUUCGGAUGAAAGCGGGGGAUCGUAAGACCUCGCGCCGAUGGAUGAGCCCAUGUCGGAUUAGCUAGUUGGUGAGGUAACGGCUCACCAAGGCGACGAUCCGUAGCUGGUCUGAGAGGACGGCCAGCCACACUGGGACUGAGACACGGCCCAGACUCCUACGGGAGGCAGCAGUGGGGAAUAUUGGACAAUGGCGAAAGCCUGAUCCAGCGACGCCGCGUGUGUGAAGAAGGCCUGCGGGUUGUAAAGCACUUUCGAUGGGAACGAAAUGUGUCGGGCUAAUACCCCGGCAAGCUGACGUUACUCAAUGAAGAAGCACCGGCUAACUCUGUGCCAGCAGCCGCCGUAAUAC
rnacentral:rRNA from 1 species